rnacentral:rRNA from 1 species
CCCUUAGAUGUUCUGGGCCGCACGCGCGCUACACUGGCGAUGGCAACGAGUUUUUCCUUCGCCGAAAGGUGUGGGUAAUCUUUUGAAACAUCGUCGUGCUGGGGAUAGAUCAUUGCAAUUUUUGAUCUUGAACGAGGAAUUCCUAGUAAGCGCGAGUCAUCAGCUCGCGUUGAUUACGUCCCUGCCCUUUGUACACACCGCCCGUCGCUACUACCGAUUGAAUGGUUUAGUGAGGACUCCUGAUUGGCGCCGCCGCCCCGGCAACGGAGCAGCGGACUGCCGAAAAGUUGUUCAAACUUGAUCAUUUAGAGGAAGUAAAAGUCGUAACA